rnacentral:rRNA from 1 species
GAUGAACGCUGGCGGCGUGCCUAAUACAUGCAAGUCGAGCGAACGGACGAGAAGCUUGCUUUUCUGAUGUUAGCGGCGGACGGGUGAGUAACACGUGGAUAACCUACCUAUAAGACUGGGAUAACUUCGGGAAACCGGAGCUAAUACCGGAUAAUAUUUUGAACCGCAUGGUUCAAAAGUGAAAGACGGUCUUGCUGUCACUUAUAGAUGGAUCCGCGCUGCAUUAGCUAGUUGGUGAGGUAACGGCUUACCAAGGCAACGAUGCAUAGCCGACCUGAGAGGGUGAUCGGCCACACUGGAACUGAGACACGGUCCAGACUCCUACGGGAGGCAGCAGUAGGGAAUCUUCCGCAAUGGGCGAAAGCCUGACGGAGCAACGCCGCGUGAGUGAUGAAGGUCUUCGGAUCGUAAAACUCUGUUAUUAGGGAAGAACAUAUGUGUAAGUAACUGUGCACAUCUUGACGGUACCUAAUCAGAAAGCCACGGCUAACUACGUG